AAACAUGCAAGUCGUACGAGAACCCCUGGUGCUUGCAUUGGGGGGAGAGUGGCGAACGGGUGAGUAACACGUGGAUUAUCUGCCUUCAGGUCUGGGAUAACCCCGGGAAACCGGGGCUAAUACCGGAUAAUAUGGCAACAUUAAAGGUGGGGACCUUCGGGCCUAUCGCCUGAAGAUGAGUCCGCGUCCCAUUAGCUUGUUGGUGGGGUAAUGGCCUACCAAGGCGACGAUGGGUAGCCGGCCUGAGAGGGUGUACGGCCACAUUGGGACUGAGAUACGGCCCAGACUCCUACGGGAGGCAGCAGUUAAGAAUCUUGCGCAAUGGGCGAAAGCCUGACGCAGCGACGCCGCGUGGACGAUGAAGGCCUUCGGGUUGUAAAGUCCGGUAAGCAGGGAAGAAUAAGUGUAAAGUAAUAUCUUGCACGAUGACGGUACCUGCCCAAAGCCCCGGCUAACUACGUGCCAGCAGCCGCGGUAAUACGUAUGGGGCAAGCGUUGUUCGGAAUUAUUGGGCAUAAAGGGCGUCUAGGCGGGGGACUAAGUUAGGUGUGAAAGCCAUGGGCUCAACCCAUGAAUUGCACCUAAAACUGGUUUUCUUGAGUUCGGGAGAGGAGAGCGGAAUUCCCGGUGUAGCGGUGAAAUGCGUAGAUAUCGGGAAGAACACCAGUGGCGAAGGCGGCUCUCUGGCCUAGAACUGACGCUGAAGCGCGAAAGCGUGGGGGGCGAACGGGAUUAGAUACCCCGGUAGUCCACGCCGUAAACGUUGUGUACUAGGUGUUAGUGGCUUGACCACUAGUGCCGUCGCAAACGCAUUAAGUACACCGCCUGGGGAGUACGUCCGCAAGGAUGAAACUCAAAGAAAUUGACGGGGGCCCGCACAAGCGGUGGAGCAUGUGGUUUAAUUCGAUGAUACGCGAAGAACCUUACCUGGGCUUGAACUGUACUUGAUCGGUGUAGAGAUACACCCUCCUUCGGGCAGGUGCAGAGGUGCUGCAUGGUUGUCGUCAGCUCGUGUCGUGAGAUGUUGGGUUAAGUCCCGCAACGAGCGCAACCCUUACCCCUUGUUGCCAUCAGGUAAUGCUGAGCACUCUAGGGGAACUGUCGGUGAUAAACCGGAGGAAGGUGGGGAUGACGUCAAAUCA
rnacentral:rRNA from 1 species